rnacentral:misc_RNA from 1 species
UUUCCGUAGGUGAACCUGCGGAAGGAUCAUUGUUGUAUAACCGAGGUGCGAGGGCCGUCGCUGACCCGAAAGGUCGUGCACGCCCGAGUGCCCUCACACACAUCCAUCUCACCCCUAUGUGCACCACCGCGUGGGUCCCCCUUUGGCUUGUUCGGAGGGGGGCUUACGUUUUCACACAAACUUUGUAUGCAGUGUAGAAUGUAUUUUUUGUUUUUGCGAUCACGCAAUCAAUACAACUUUCAACAACGGAUCUCUUGGCUCUC